rnacentral:ribozyme from 15 species
AAAAAAGGUCUGCUGAAAGAAAUUAGAAAAGAAAAGAAAAGAAAAAAAAAAAAAAAAUACCUAGCCAGGCCCCCAAGCUUAGAAGUGCAAAUUAGCCGAUUUUUUUUUUUUUUUCGUUCGUAGUAUGCAUGUAUCUU